GACGAACGCUGGCGGCGUGCUUAAUACAUGCAAGUCGAGCGGGUGUAGCAAUACAUCAGCGGCGGACGGGUGAGUAACGCGUGGGCAAUCUGCCCUCUAGCCUGGGAUAACAGUUCGAAAGGACUGCUAACACCGGAUAUGCUCCCAGCCUGGCAUCAGGCAGAGAGGAAAGUUGACACUAGAGGAUGAGCCCGCGUCCCAUUAGCUAGUUGGUGAGGUAACGGCCCACCAAGGCGACGAUGGGUAGCCGACCUGAGAGGGUGAACGGCCACACUGGGACUGAGACACGGCCCAGACUCCUACGGGAGGCAGCAGUAGGGAAUUUUCCGCAAUGGACGAAGGUCUGACGGAGCAACGCCGCGUGAGGGAUGAAGGUUUUCGGAUCGUAAACCUCUGUCUUCAGGGACGAUAAUGACGGUACCUGAGGAGGAAGCCACGGCUAACUACGUGCCAGCCGCCGCAGUAA
rnacentral:rRNA from 1 species